ACUCCUACGGGAGGSAGCAGUGGGGAAUUUUGGACAAUGGGGGCAACCCUGAUCCAGCCAUGCCGCGUGAGUGAAGAAGGCCUUCGGGUUGUAAAGCUCUUUCGGACGGAACGAAAUGGUUAGCGUGAAUAUCGCUGACUGAUGACGGUACCGUAAGAAGAAGCACCGGCUAACUACGUGCCAGCAGCCGCGGUAAUACGUAGGGUGCGAGCGUUAAUCGGAAUUACUGGGCGUAAAGCGUGCGCAGGCGGUUCGCCAAGUCAGGUGUGAAAUCCCCGGGCUUAACCUGGGAAUUGCGCUUGAAACUAGCGGGCUUGAGUGUGGCAGAGGGGGGUGGAAUUCCACGUGUAGCAGUGAAAUGCGUAGAGAUGUGGAGGAACACCGAUGGCGAAGGCAGCCCCCUGGGUCAACACUGACGCUCAUGCACGAAAGCGUGGGGAGCAAACAGGAUUAGAUACCCUGGUAGUCCACGCCCUAAACGAUGUCGACUAGGUGUUGGGGAAGGAGACUUCCUUAGUACCGCAGCUAACGCGUGAAGUCGACCGCCUGGGGAGUACGGUCGCAAGAUUAAAACUCAAAUGAAUUGACGG
rnacentral:rRNA from 1 species